GCGAAAUGCGAUGUGCUUGUGGAGUGUUUGUACAAGCAGGAGGGGAGAAUGAUGCAAAUAUGCAUUUGAUUGCGGAGCAUCUACAUUAAGAUCAACCGUGUUUUUGCAGGGGGUUUUUGCGAAAGAAUAAGUGACGAAAGCUCAAGCUACGCCCCAGAUCCUGGCUCUGCUUACUAUCAGAUGACCCAUACCUUCAAGUGGCCUUAAGAGUAAGACGGAUUGUUCUGUAACAUGCCGGUGCAAAAAGUGUCAGAGAGUUGUUGCACAGGACGUAAAUGCUAUCGAGCGCAGGAUGGUGGUGGUGAGGAAUCUGAAUCCAGGGGUAAACGGAGAAUGGCCGAAGAGCGACCAGUUUGUACGUCAAAUAAAUGCAUCUAAAGUUCUUUGGUGGUAUUAAUCAUCAAGCCUUGCGGCGGAUUCUAUAAUACCACUAACCUCGACGGUUGCACUGCUAGUGUGAUAAUUCUGACCAAGCACGAUGCAACCUUCAAUUCACCUGUAUUGAGCUUCGUACCCGGGCACACACUAACGGCCUCCCUGAAGCUUUGAUUGAUCCCGAAUGACUUGUUAGGUAUUGAAUGCUGCGUGGAACGCUGGCAUCUCUAUGGCUUGUGAGGAUGCACUUGGUUGUUUUGACCAUGAGAAUGCUUAACUCGGGAAAAUUCGUAAUGACCGACGUUGGACUGCUUUCACCUACAUCAGCGUCAACCGCGAACUCAUGAAAUUACACAAUCUGAAAGGGUUUUCUCCAGUGAAGCUUUUGUAUGGCAAACAUUCACCUUUGAAAUAGGUCCAGGUUUCUUACAAGAUGAUAUCAUUCUCGAGUGAUGACUUUGCAAACAUUUGUACACGGAUCAAUUCGAGAUCUAAGCCUUGCACAAGAAGUUGUGCAUGAUUCAGCUUCAUAGGUUACAGAGAUAAUUUCUAAGCUGGAUCAUCAGUUAUUCAGCAAACAGCGUUAUCAUAAUUCAGGAUACGAGAAUUAUCAUAAUUCGGGAUCAGAUCAAAGUUGUCCCUUGGAAGUUGAGUGACUUGCAAAGACUUGUAUCAUUAUUUGAACCAAUGCCCUUGAUAAUUCAUUUUAUAAUAAUAAAGAAAACGCAUUUCCACUAA